rnacentral:rRNA from 1 species
AGAGUUUGAUCCUGGCUCAGGACGAACGCUGGCGGCGUGCCUAAUACAUGCAAGUAGAACGCUGAAGAGAGGAGCUUGCUCUUCUUGGAUGAGUUGCGAACGGGUGAGUAACGCGUAGGUAACCUGCCUGGUAGCGGGGGAUAACUAUUGGAAACGAUAGCUAAUACCGCAUAAAAUUGAUUAUUGCAUGAUAAUUAAUUGAAAGAUGCAAUUGCAUCACUACCAGAUGGACCUGCGUUGUAUUAGCUAGUUGGUGAGGUAACGGCUCACCAAGGCGACGAUACAUAGCCGACCUGAGAGGGUGAUCGGCCACACUGGGACUGAGACACGGCCCAGACUCCUACGGGAGGCAGCAGUAGGGAAUCUUCGGCAAUGGGGGGAACCCUGACCGAGCAACGCCGCGUGAGUGAAGAAGGUUUUCGGAUCGUAAAGCUCUGUUGUAAGAGAAGAACGGGUGUGAGAGUGGAAAGUUCACACUGUGACGGUAUCUUACCAGAAAGGGACGGCUAACUACGUGCCAGCAGCCGCGGUAAUACGUAGGUCCCGAGCGUUGUCCGGAUUUAUUGGGCGUAAAGCGAGCGCAGGCGGUUAGAUAAGUCUGAAGUUAAAGGCUGUGGCUUAACCAUAGUAUGCUUUGGAAACUGUUUAACUUGAGUGCAGAAGGGGAGAGUGGAAUUCCAUGUGUAGCGGUGAAAUGCGUAGAUAUAUGGAGGAACACCGGUGGCGAAAGCGGCUCUCUGGUCUGUAACUGACGCUGAGGCUCGAAAGCGUGGGGAGCAAACAGGAUUAGAUACCCCGGUAGUCCAA